rnacentral:rRNA from 1 species
GACGGAGGAUGCAAGUGUUAUCCGGAAUCACUGGGCGUAAAGCGCGCGUAGGCGGCUUUGCAAGUCGGGUGUGAAAUCCCCAGGCUUAACCUGGGAACUGCAUUCGAGACUGCAUUGCUAGAGUAUGGGAGAGGGAAGUGGAAUUUCCGGUGUAGCGGUGAAAUGCGUAGAUAUCGGAAGGAACAUCAGUGGCGAAAGCGACUUCCUGGACCAAUACUGACGCUCAUGUGCGAAAGCGUGGGGAGCAAACAGG